rnacentral:lncRNA from 1 species
UCGGGUACCAUUGCUAGAUGGUCACUUCGAUUAGUACAAAAAUUGGUUCCUGUGCUACCGGCUUAGGUUCGAACCUGUGGGGUCACACACAUUAGAGGUUCCUAUCUGAUCUGAUGGCUGAUGUAGAAUCCUACAUGUUUGGGACUCAGUGAUCGAGAAUCAAAAUUCUCUGAUCAUGAGUUUCACACAUUAUGGGUACCGGGGUCAAGAGUCCCACUGGUUGGGAUUUUUCGAUCAGGGUUACAUAUCGAUGAAUUCUGAUGCCUGAUUGCCCAUCGGAUUUGG